rnacentral:tRNA from 1 species
UCAAAAACAGUCAAAUGACGCUAACUUUGGGAGUUAGAGGGUGACGGCAAUCGUCAUUUUUGAA